UAUUAUUUAAUUACGCAUAGUAUAUUUUUAGAACAAUAACAAUUGCGACGUGCAUGUUAUUGUGGGAUGUAUAUUGUUGGGUGGUUGUAGGGGGCAACUUUUUCCUAGUCUUGUCAGGUAUAAUUUUUUUGUGUAAAAAUUGCAUUAAUUUUAUCGGAGUACGUGCUUGUUCAUUUUGACAUCGGGGUUAAUGAUAUUGGGUGUGCGCUAAUUAUCUUAUUAUUAAGGCGAUCUCGGUAAUUAUAAGACAGCGGCACCAUUGGUUCCGGAAUCUCUAAAAUUUAGUCACUGUCUUUUCGAAUCAGGUGAGUGAAAGGCAGCGCUCCAGGUGAUAGAUUUGAAAGGGGUUAUUCAUUUAAAAGAAGGUAUAAAAGUACCAGGACGAGUUAAAAAUUUACCAGAUCUUUCUUCCUGCAAGUAGAAUAGCAGUAACGGAUUACUGUGGGACAACAUGAAGACUUUUGUAAUUUAUCUCAGCCUUUCCCUGUCUGCCUUAACUUUUAUUCGGGCAAUUAGAGUUUCCCCCGAAGCGCGGGAAAAUGAGGUCCUAUUAUCUCGACAUCGAAGACAAGGAUAUUACAAUAAUGGCUACGAUCGAUACCAACAACAACGUGAACAGCAACAGCAAGCAUAUGAUCAGCAGCAGCAAGCAUACGAUCAACAACAACAAGCAUAUGAAGAGGAGCGAAAACAAGAGCAGCAGUACGAGGAAGAACGACAACAACAAGAACAACAAUAUGAACAAGAACAGGAACAACAGAGAGAAGAGCAACAGCAGCGAUAUCAACAGGAAUACAGUGGUGGGUAUGGACGGUACAAGAGAGCCGCUGCAUAUGCUCUUGCACGGUUGAGAAGAAACGUCCAACAGACCCAAAAUAGCUACUUCCGUGACAAUCCAUCCGGCGCACCUGCUGAUUCCAACUAUGCUUCACAGCAAUACCAACAAAAUUACCCCACCGCCCAGCCUGCAUCCGCACCUGUCCUUCCAGUGGCAGUAUAUGAGGUUAAUUUCAGUGUUUGUAGAUACCUCCUGGAAGUUAUUAUUAGCCUGCUAAGUCAAAUAAAUGACGACAGUCAAACAGUAAUGCCUAUCCAGACAGCCGACCCACUACCCCUGCAACCCGGACUUGUGGUGGCCACAGCUACGCCUCUGAUAAAUCCCGACGGUUCAAAAUCGAUUGUCCAAGCAGACACUGCUCAAAUCCAAAUGUCCGAUGACUCAGAUGGUGUCCAAGCACCACUUGCUGAUGAUACCGACCUUAUGAUUGAUGUCAGUUAAACUUUUUCACAAUUGAUGUUAUCUGUUUCUAAGAAUAAUAUGCUUUUUAAUAUGCAUAACUUGCAAUCUUGAUUUCAUAUUUUAAGUACUAUUUUAUAUUUAACUACAUGUAUCUGUAUCCAAUAUAUUUCCUGAGCACGAUCCAUAUGCCAUGCAAAUGGGUUUGUAACCUCCUGAAAAUGUACAAUAAUUCUACAUAAAAAAAAUCCUUGCAAGGCCCCUGCAUAAAUCUAUCUGUACAUUAAAAAGUGUUACUAUUGUAUAGAGUAGAAGCUUAUAUGUAAUGAUAAAAAUCCACUAACUGUUAAACAUUGUUUUGUCCAAUUCUGAUAUUUGAUAUACUUUAAGUUAACUAAUAAUAAUCUACUUACCACAUAAAGUGGCGCUGACUAUAUUAAUUAUGCUUUGCAAUUCUUACCGACUUUAAAAUAAUACUUUUCUUUUUAACUGAAAA